rnacentral:ribozyme from 1 species
UGAAAGGAAGAAAAAAAAAAUAGUUCAGAAAGCAAAUUCAAGCAGGUCAAGAACUCAGUUUGAAACACAGCCGGUUGACUUUCAGUAUUUGAAGUGUUUUUAUUCCUUUGUCAUCUUUGAUUGUUUUCUCAUUUUUUUUCUCCCCUUGACGUGCGUGUCUUU